CCUACGGGAGGCAGCAGUAGGGAAUAUUGGACAAUGGGCGAAAGCCUGAUCCAGCAAUGCCGCGUGUGUGAAGAAGGCCCGCGGGUUGUAAAGCACUUUCAGUAGAGAAGAAAAGCCUACGGUUAAUAACCGUGAGUCUUGACGUUACCUACAGAAGAAGCUCCGGCUAACUCCGUGCCAGCAGCCGCGGUAAU
rnacentral:rRNA from 1 species